rnacentral:lncRNA from 1 species
UCACCUUUUACAAGAGUUGCUGUCAAUGAUAAGAUGAACCAGAUGUGAGUUGAUGGAGUACUCAUGCCUCACCUGGGACUAUACAAACUUCUUUCUCAAGGAGUUCAAUUCUAAACAGACACCAGAGACUGUCUCAUAUUCCACUCCUGAAUGAUGACCGACGAGAGCAAACCAAUGUUGGAGACUAACGCUGAUUGCAAUCAUGGCUCAUGGGAAGAUCACACGUCACGUUAACUCGUGGAUUUCCCAAGAUCCGUGAUUACAAUCUGACUUCAUUCAAUCGAUUGUGAAAAAUCCACUGGAGAAGAGAGAAAUGUCUAGUUGCCUUGGUUUAUCCCCAGGUCAGUAACUCCAUGAUGGAAGGCAUUAUAGCCUUUCUUUUGAAUGUAGUCUAUCUAGGAUUACAUUAUGCAAUGUGCCCUUUACAUUUUUUUCAAAGAAAUUUUGAAGAUUGGUGGAAUGUAGGAACAUCUUACUGCUAUUUCUUGCAGGUUAAGAAACCACAUAGAAGCUUCAUAGUUGAUUCAAUAAGUGUAAGUCAGGGCAUUUAUAUAUAUAUAUAUAUAUAUAUAUAUAUAUAUACACACACACACACUAAAGUUUAUAUAUAUAUAUACACAUACACAUACACUAAAGUUUGUUUUAUGUUGAGUUAGAAUAAAAACAAUUUAACAUUAAACUAAAGAAUUACUCAAUAUCUUUUUUAUAGUUUAUAUUUAUUAUUCAUUAACAAGAAUAGUAUUGACAGGGACCUUGAAGUUUUGAUCUGCUGAGCCAUCAUUGGAUUGUGGUACACUUGAGUUCAUCUUGGCUUUAUAUAUUAUAUGCGCACGUUUUUAAAAUGCCCCACACUACUUAUAUUCACAGGUCUAAAAUAACACAUUACAAAAUAACCCCACUUAACACUGAAGAGAAAAAAUAUUUGUGAAAACUUUUAUUCCCUAAAACACAAACACUAAAUUUUCUAAAUAGUAAUCAAAUAACAAUUUAUUCUUAGUGAGAAAUCUGCUGACCAAUUAACCUUUACAGUUACCUAUAUCCUUUUAUGAGCAUUAAAGCGCAAGAUAAACAAAUUUCUGUACUAAUGCUGUGACCUAAAUCAACACACCUAAUCAGAGUUUUACAUACUUGACUGAUAACCUCCACCUUUCCAAAACAAACAAUUUAAAUCUCCUAAGUAAUACCAACAACAAAUAAAGACAUCUGCUGACCAACUAAUCUUUCCACCCACUGACGUUCUUUUGUGGACCCUAAAAAAUUCCAUGACCAAAAAGCUGACUCACCUAAAUAAACAGAAUUACAAUGGUUUAAAUGCUGAACUGAAUUCUAAACAAUCCUUUACAGUCCCAAAUCAAAAGGUUUAAUCAACAACUAAACCUAAUUACACAUCUAUUGAUCAACUAACCUCUUCACCUAUCUACAUUCUUUUGUGAGCCCCUAAAAAACAACCCCAAGAUCUGUAACUGACACACCUAAAUAGAUACACCUGAUUACAAAGUUCUUCAAGCAUGACUGAAUUCUGAACACAACUCCAAAUUUAAUCAAUAGAAAAUCUUCUAUAAUACCUUUCCCUUAAAAACUUUUCCAUUAUACAUUUCCUAAUUAUCAUUCAAUAGAGUUUGACCUACCCCAGUAAAUUUUAACUUAACAGAGACCAUACAAAACCAAGAUUAACUCAAAUGUACCACAGUCUGAUGAUGGCUUUACAGGUUGAAAUUUCAAAGUUACUGUCAAUACUGUUCUUGUUGAUGAAUAAUAUAAAUGGGUGUGUAUAUGUGUGUGUGUAUGUGUGUGUGCAUAUUAGAUGAUGAAGAAGCUAAAAAGAGUUCCAUUUGGAUCUGGGUGAAGAAGAAUGAAAAUGAAUUUCAGUAGGUAUAAUUUUAACCUACUUACAGGUGGUAUAGAGAUUAGUUUAAAGCCUCGGGGAGUUGGAGGAAAGAAAGGUUGAGGGGAGAAGGAGAGAUAAGUAUGAUAAAGAAUGCCUGAGUGGGGGUAGAAUGAAUGCAAUGUGAUCUGAUGAGCAAGCCUUUAUAGUAGAUAUAGAAAAUGCAGAGAGGAGACAAUCAUUUAAUAUGAUAAUCUGUGAGCUGGAGAUAUGUCGGUGAUUGACAUUAUGCAAAUCAGUUGGGUGGGCCUUUUCUGGAUACAGUCUCUUGCCUGUGUGUGCAGUGCACCACCCCAGCAGCAGCACCAUCCCAGGAGUGAGAGCAUUACUCCUUUGUGGGGAUCACACCUAAGCUUCGUAGGGUAUCAAUAAUUGCAUGUAUGUGUGUUUGAACUAUCUUUCUUUUACUUUUUAUUAAUACUCAUCUAACUUUCACCAAUGAUUUCUACCUGCUCCUCUCAUAUUAUCAUAUUCACCACCACCACCACCACCAUUAUUAUUCUUGUUGUCAUCUUCAUUAUCAUUUUAAUGUCUCCUUUUCUAUGCUUGCAUGGAUGAGAUGGAAUUUGUUGAGGCAGAUUUUCUAAAGCCAGAUGUUUUUCCUGAACCAGCAGUCUCAGAAAUUAGUAAAAAAAAUAAAAGAAUAUUUUUUUA